UCACAAAAGUACCUAAUGUAUAUUAUACCAUAUGUGCAAACUCGGAACGAACUGGUGCUGGAAGUAAUUUUUAAAUGAGAAAAAACGCAUUAAGUCUAUACUUAAUCGAACCAAUAAGGCUUUACGUCUAUUACAGAAUCGUUGCUUUUUGUGUUGACUGUACUUAGAUGAACAAUGUUGCAUUGGCACGGGACAGGAUGCUAACCGGUCUCUUUGCAGCCUGUCUAAGUAAAAACAGCAUCCUAUCUACAGGACCGGUGUUUGUUAAGAAGCAGUAUACUGAUUGAAAUUCAUAAGGUUACGUUGUCGGCUAUUAUGAGGGCGACAUGCGAAUGAUAUCUUUUGUUUCACAAAGGUUGAUGAGGUACGGAACAGAGAGUAAAACAGUUGCAGUUAUUGCUAAUUUCAUCGAGGACUUAAAUACAUAUUUUUCAAUAAUGUGAAGAUAUCAUAGUCAUAAAUUUGCGUAGUGUAUAUUUUUAAUCUAUGACCACAAGAAGGGGAAUGCGGCGGGGAUUGCGGCGUGCGCGGCAGUGGAGCGCACCGCUGCCGCCGCAGUCAUGGUCAAGGCCUAUAUUAGUUCCAAUGUAAUGUCCGAUUUAUGUACACUUUUUGCAUAUUUUAUACAUAUACCGUUAUUGAAUCUGUUUAUA